CGGGACAUUUUUUCAUUCUUUUAUUCUUUAGAUUCAAUUUCUUCCUUCUUUCCUUUUCCUCCUUUUUUGACUCCAAACUAUGUACAUCCCCCUUCCACUAUAGAUAGCGCGAGCACCUCUCUGCUCAUUUGGAUCCAGUUUUUAACUGGGAGGGAGCUUUUCCAUGAUAUCUUAACUGGGACCAAUGCCAAAGCGGGGGUAGAAAUUUAUGCUCCCCAAUUUUUUGCCCGUCAGCUUGGUUUUGGCCAAACUUGGCCUGUUCCUCUUUGCUAUUCGAAGAGCUUAAUUGACCGUUUUCAUACCAUUAAUAAG
rnacentral:lncRNA from 1 species